rfam:Nicotiana sylvestris Nsyl_contig82420, whole genome shotgun sequence.
CUCUUUGACAUAGUGAGCAGGUAGUAUCAAUCUGUAUCCCCCAUCUUACUAGCCUUUCUUUUUUGUACAGACAGACUUUUUGGGUGCUAAGAUCCAAAGUCGAAAGGGAAACAACCCAGAUCGUACGAUAAGGUCCCUAAGCAAUCACUUAGUGGAAAAGGAAGUGAUUGAGCGAUGUCAACCAGGAGGUGGGCUUGGAAGCAGCCAUCCUUUGAAGAAAGAGUAAUAGCUCACUGGUCUAGCUCCAUGAGACCUACCUAUAUUAGCCAUGAGCGAUCACCAAGCGGAGUUGAAAGAAAAGAG